rnacentral:rRNA from 1 species
AUACGUAUGUCGCAAGCGUUAUCCGGAAUUAUUGGGCGUAAAGCGAGUCUAGGCGGCUUGUUAAGUCAGAUGUGAAAAUGCGGGGCUCAACUCCGUAUUGCGUUUGAAACUGGCAGGCUAGAGUACUGUAGAGGUGGGCGGAACUACAAGUGUAGAGGUGAAAUUCGUAGAUAUUUGUAGGAAUGCCGAUAGUGAAGACAGCUCACUGGACAGAUACUGACGCUAAAGCUCGAAAGCGUGGGGAGCGAACAGAAUUAGAAACCCCAGUAGUCC